GUCUUGGCUGGGUCAGAGCUGAGACUUAUCAGCUGCCCCUCACUUCCACUCCUGAAGACUAGCUUUGUCUUUAUGUUCAGAGUGACACUUUCUGAACGGCCACUGUGUGUUUGGGGAGGGUUAACAGGAGUUGGGAUUUGAAUGGGACCCAGGAGCCCCAUGGGAAAGAAUUUGAAUCUUGUUCACAAUCAGAGUUCAUUACGAACAUACCUAAAGAGCGGAGACCCUGACGACAGCCAGGCUGUGGAGGACCAUGGAGUCCCUGAGAAUGAAAAAAAAAAAGCACUGAGUGAGCAGAUCUGGCAGGGCCGGUCAAACUCUGUAGGAGGGUGUUUAAGUCAGGGGGAAACAGUGACUCCAGGGCAUGUGGGGCUGUGCUUGCCCCUCACCCACCGCCUGUCCCCCAUCCCACCUGAGUCCGGGAGAGCCUGCCUGCUGGAAGCAGAGGGCCGAGAUAUGCAGGAGAGACGCGAAAGCUGCGCUCUGCUGGGAGCUCUUCUGUGACACAACAAAGGAAAGCCCUUUCCCCAGGGCCCAGACCAGAAUGGUCAGCAGGACAGAGAGGGGCCCAAGGCCAGCAGAGUGACCUGAGAUGACAGAACACAGGGCUUACGGAGCUGCCAGACAUUGAUACAAUUUAGGAGAGACACCCCCAUCCCUUUCUGGCUCCUGAAGAAAUGCAGGAAGAGAAAGAGAAACCAGGACUUCAGUUGUAGUGGAUACAAGUCUGGAAUGCAGAGCCAGACAGACCUGAGUUCAAGUCUCAACUCCAACCUGGUCUGGAGCAUGUGACAAAAGCCCUCGGAGCAUCAGUUUCCAAACCUGCGACGGAGGGUGACACGGCAUCUCACAGGGCUCCGGUGGAAGGGCAGUGAGGAAACUGCUGUAAAGUUGUGGCAGAUGUUCUUCUGUAUCUGCCAAGAGCCAUUGCCCUCCCCUCCCUUCUUAUAGCAGAGACCACUCCCCAUACAGAUGCUGCGGUUCCAAAGUUUCUUCAAUCACAGAAGGAGAAGCUGGGGAUGGGGCUGGGGAGACUGCUUUUCUGCCCCCGGCUCCUUGGGUGUGUGGAACUGGCUUGGUCCCCCUUAAUCCUGAGGGGUUCCCCUUAUGCUGACCAAGGCAGAGCAGAAAGAUGAAAGAGCCCGUGUCCAGGAAGACAUCACAGAUGCUGGACGUGGCCACCCAUGGAACUCUCAUCGUGGGAGCUAAAAAACCCCAGAAGACUGAGGCCAUGAAGCUGCCGCAUCAGCAGAGUAGUGUUAAGCGGCAUCUUUCUCCAUGAAGAUGUUUGAAAGCAUCUCUCCUCUGACUCCGGGCGAACAGGAUGGCUCCGUCAUCUACCUGUAGAUCAUUCCUCCCGAUCAGUUCUGAAUAAGAAGUGUCCUCCCAGCUUCCUUCCCAGAACUGUGGAUCAUCAAUAAACCCAUCUAUUAAAAAAAAAUCCCUCUGACACUAAAUCCCCCAGCAUUCCUGUUCACACUCUCUCCCUCUCUCCCCAUAAAACAAACUUCUCAAUGCUUUAGCCAGCCUUGGUGGAGCCCAAUUCCCACCCUUCACUUCUUGGCGAGGAGAGCUCUGACUGCUCUGUCUACAACUAGGCAGAGACACAGUUUUCCCAAACUCACCAGUGUCCUCCUAAAGAAAUC
rnacentral:lncRNA from 1 species